rnacentral:tmRNA from 1 species
AGGCUUGAAAAAUAGCUAAAAACACGCCAUUUUAUAAGAGCUGGUUUUCCAGACUAUGGCAAUAAACGGUUUAUGGAAUAGGCGUUACGGACCCGAGGGCAGUGCUCGGCGUCUCCACCAAACUAUGCUUUUGUUAUCAAAGUAUCUAUGGGGACGAAACAGGAUCGACGUGCGCAAUAAAGAUAUUCUUUUUGCUCGGCAUGGUACCACCGUUACCGGACUAAAACUUUAUAAGUGCCAAUGAUAACCAUGAGGUGCUCGCUGUCGCUGCCUAAUACGCAGAGAUAAGCGCGGUUCGGGAGGGUACCGAGCAACAGAAACCCUCCCACU